rnacentral:lncRNA from 1 species
UUAAGAGGAGUGGUGGCCAGGCAUCAGAGAUCUAAUGUGAGGUGAGGGGGACAGUGUAUGGAAUUUUGCAAGUCCAGGAACUUAGGUGUGAAAAUCUUUUAUUUUUAAAAAUUUUGUGUAGAGACAGGGUCUCACUCUGUUGCCUAGGAUGGUCUCAAACUCCUGGCCUUCCGUGAUCUGCCCACCUUGGCCUCCCAAAGUACUUAGGUUACAGGCACGAGCCACUGCACCUGGCCAGAAAAUGAAUCUUUAGUUUCACUAGCCUCUGAACGAAAUCCAGUAUUUCUGCCAAUUUUGGAGGUAGGCACCAAAUCACAGUAGCAUUAGACAACCUGUGCUUUAGUCAACAAAAUAAAUUGGAUAUUUUCGUAUAACAUCAUGGCCAUUGUAGAUUGCUACUUCAAAAUAAAAGUAGUUACUAGAUCUGCUGAUAGAUCUUGUAUUUAGUGUUAAUAAAAACACACUUAACAAUUUAAAAAUAUUUUGAUAACUAUUAUUUUAAUGGCAGUUUCCUUUUGCAAACCUAUGUAUUUUAUUCUUUUAAACAUCACUGAGCAGAUUCACAGAUUUCAUCGAAUUGCCAAAGGGGUCCAUGACUCAGAAUGCACUGUGUCUUAAAGCAGGUCCUCCUAAGCAAGGGGUAUUGAAAGGGGAUCCACCUCAGAGACCUAAGACGCAGGUUCUAAUCCUGACAAGUUGCUUGACCUCAGACAGGCUUCUGUCUCUCAUGCCUUCACUUUUAUCUCUAUUAAAAUAGAAGUGGGCCAGGUGCAGUGGCUCACAGCUGUAAAAAGCACUUAGGGAGGCCAAGUGGGGAGGAUAGCUUGAGGCCAGGAGUUGAGACCAGCCUGGGCAACAAAGCAAGAACCCAUCUCUACAAAAAAAAAAAAAAAGCAGCAUCUGAAGCAGCAUGUGGGGAGCAAACGAGAUGCAAUUGUGAAUGUCUCCUGACAGCAGCUUCUCAAGCUCAGGUGGCCACUUAAACUCACAUAAAUCCAUGUUUGGUUACCAAAGAUAAGCAUUUAAGCAACAUUUAUAAUUUCGUAACCUGCCUAUGUUGGGGGAAUGCAACAUUGGUCAUUCCUGCAAUACUUGCCCUAGCACACACGCAGCCCAGGGACGUUUUUCCAACCUAAUGAUGCUCACAUUUGAAAUUUUUUCCCACCCUACUAUAGACCUCACUAUUCUUGCAAAGAAGACUUUGUUCUAUCUCAACACUUAGAACUCAUGAUUCUGUUCCUGAGCUGUCCACCUCUGCCAGUGGGAGACACCCUAGACUAAGGUGAGAGGUUAAGGAAGCUAGUGGAAGGCUGGGUGUGGUGGCUCACACCUCUAAUCCCAGCACUUUGGGAGGCCGAAGUGGGAGGAUCACUUGAGGUCAGGAGUUCAAGACCAGCCUGGGCAACAUGGUGAAACCGUCUCUACUGAAAAUACAAAAACUAGCCAGGCAUGGUGACAUGUGCCUAUAAUCCCAGCUACUCGGGAGGCUGAGGUGGGAUAAUUGCUUGAACCUGGGGGGCAGAGGCUGCAGUGAGUACUGCUGCACUCCAGCCUGGGUGACAGAGCAAGACUCCACCUCAAAAAAAAAAAAAAAAAAAAAAAAAAAAGGAAGCUAGUGGAGAAAGACUGCAGGUGCCAGAGUUCAGCACAGCAGGUUUGACUCCCCUGUAUCAGCUGCAUGAUGCUGAGCAAGUUAACAUCUCUGAAGAUCAAUUUUCCCUUGCAAAGAUGAAGGCAAAUGCCUUCCAUUGUGAGGAACCAUCAAAAUAAUGGAGGGGAUACUAGUGAAUGUUAGUGGGCGCCAGUGCUUGUCCCUCCCAUCCAGAGACCUGGUCCCCCCUAUCCAGGAGUCUUGAUUUCAAUGGUCGAAGGCCCUUCCCACAGCUUUCCAGUGAUGCAGACAGGCUGAGGUAUGCCCUUUUCUUCAGAAAACUGGCUGUUACAAUUUGCAAAGCCCGAUGCAAAAUAUUUUCAAAAUUGCUAUUAAAAAAAUUAAGAAUUUAAAGUCGAUGACAGAACAUGCAACCAAACAGGGGGCCUCCUGACUAUGGGGCCCUUUGUGACAGCACAGCCUAUGAAGACGGUCUGUCUCCAACUCACAUGGCUCUUCCCACCCUGGUUCCACACUACAAUCACCUGCAGAACUUUAGAAAGUAGAGAUGCCCUUGUACCUCCCCUGAGAUAUUUCAAACACCAAAGAGGCCCCCAGGGGACCGCAGCAGGCAGGCACGGUGGAGAGCUACUGGAGUAGAGCCUUAGGAUGCCUUGGAAGACUGUCAUGGCCCAACAUCCACAAGCAGCAGGCAAAACUGUCCCCAUAAAGCCCAGAUAAGACAAAUACUUGCAAAUGUAACAUCUCAGGGUCUUUAGGACCCGUAUCACGUGCCCCAUGGAAAAAGCUAUUAAUGCCUCCCACCCCUAUGAGGCUGCCUUACUGUGCAGACAGCAGAGGAUGCUCAUGAGUUCAGCAUCUCCCCUUCCAGGUUUUCACCGGCACAGCCCACUCCAGAGGAACCUGCUUCCCCGUGUCCUUUGUAGAGCUAUGGUGUGUGACUAGGUGGGGAGGCAAGCAGCAGCUUAUGUGCGACUUCCCAGCGGUGUUAAGGACAUGACCUUCUGUCCUAGUUGGCGCUUAAGGUGUCAUCUGAGACUAUGUGUUGAAGAUGUGUGUGGCAGGGGGCAUGGGAAGAUAGAAAUCAUGAUCCCUGCUGAUCAUAAGGCCACAGUACCUAGAUCUUGGUUAUUCCUCCUCCCCCUACAAAAGAAAAAAAGCAAGCAGGGCUCAGGGGGUGGGGGAGACAGAGGGAAGCCAACUUCUCUUAAGUCAGUAGAUUGCAUCAUUAGGCCAAAUGCCUGACAUGACCCAUUUUACAGAAGAGUAAAAUAGACUCAGAUGACAUCCCCCUAGCUGAACGAGGCAGGGAUUUCCCAUCUUCAGCUGCAUUCGCUUAUAACUAAAAAAAAGGUGGCUUCUCAGAGUAGAAGGAUGGUUGCCAGGAGUUGGGGGAAACGGGGAGAUGUUGAUCAAAGGGCACAAUCUUUGUCAUGACAUGAACAAAUUUUGGGUUGUAAGGCACAGCAUGAGUGGUGGCAGCUGUGUUAAUCUGUGGUAGUCAUUACACGAUGCUUAGGUAUUUCCAAUCAACACAUUAUAGACACCGAAUAUAUACAGUCUUUGUCUGUUAAAUAUUUAAAAGAGGCAGCUUUUGGCCAGGCAUGGUG